GGACAGUUGUGCAGGUUGGACUUUGUACGAGCUUGUCUGGCAGGGAUACAUGGGAUUAAUAUCCAGCCCAGACCUUGCAGGCAAAGAGAUAUCCAGGCCCUUCAGCUGAUGCACACAGGAUGGCGCCCUGGCCUUCACUGCUCCUGUUCUGCUCUUUGGGCCCAGUUCUGACUUGACUGUGACAAUCUGAAAAGCUCCACCCAGCAAGGAGGAAGAGCAGGAUACAAGGCCUUGCACGGUGCUUGCACACACCACUUCUGCCAGCAUCCCAAGGACAAGAACUCAGGUCCACAGCAGCAUCUGGCUGCAGUGGAGGCCAAGCACUGCCCACUUCGUUUCCAGCAGCCAUGCGCGCAGCAGAAAAUCGGAGGUGUUUCCAUUAAGAGGCCACAGGAUGCGCUGUUGGGUGGAAGGUGGAGUGCGCAUGAGAAGCGUCGAAGACUCGAUGACUCCACUGGGGCUGAGAAACAAAGAGUGAAGCAACCUUUUCCAGAGAGGGGAAAGCGUGCAAAAGGAGCAAGGAAGGGUUGUGGCUCAAAUAUGCUAUAUUUGAGUUUGUGAAAGAUGAAGAAAGAAAGAAAGAAAGAAAGAAAGAAAGAAAGAAAGAAAGAAGGAAGAGAGAAAGUGGACUGAGUACCAGUGGUGUCCUCAGCACUCUGCUAGGCACAGUUGCAUGGGUUACCACUUUUACAGUCAACACAGCAGGGAAAAGCUGCAUCUGCCCGAGUCGCCAGCACCAUCUUCAGUGACGUCAUCACGUAACAGCAAGGAUGUCUCCUAAAGAGAGAAGGCCCACCAGUGGAGCUCCGUAAGCAGACUCCAGAUAACAGCAAUGGGGAACCAGCAUGGAGUGGUCAUCAGGCAUUGUCACCCACAGUUCUAUCCAAACCUGGGACUCGAUGUGUCCAAAUCAUACCAUUCUAGAACUGUACAGCAGCCUUCCCCUCAUCAAAAUGUCAGCACAUGUAGCACAUUAUGCCAGCAGGAAUGACAGCAUGCAAUUAUGCUGAGGUCAGACUGCCAUGAACGAAAUUGGGCUCCAUUACUACCAAUCAUACUAUAUGCCUAUUUCCUCAUCUGUAAGGUAGGAGUAGCAAUAGAUGUACUCAUUCUAAAAUCCAGUUACAGUGUUUCAAUACCAUCUGGACCAUAGUAAGUGCUCAUUAAAUGUUAGCAUUUAUUCAGUUCAAUCAACUCUUACAUACUGUGCCACCCGGGACCCAUGCGUAUCUGUUUGGCCCACUCUCACACACAAAAUCAGACUAAUUCCAUCUAGAAAGAGUGGGCUUAGGCCUUGGAGACUGAGCUACUCUAAUGGGGGUACAGCAGCACCAGCCAAACUGGCCCCCUUUCUGCUCCAUGAGUUGGCCCGUCCACCUUGGCCAAUGUGCAAAAAUGUUUGUGGCGAACUCAUUUGUUUUCCUUUCUGUUAGGUCGGCCUUCCAAAGGCAAAGAACUGCUGAAAUUAACCCAAGGCAGGGGCCAGUGGAGCAGACGGGGUCUGGGCUAGAGCCAGGCGUAAUGAAGUGGAAAAUGUUCACACCACAGGCAGCAUUACAAUGCACCUGUACAAACAGAACUCAGCCUGCCAUCCCUUCCUUCGGGGCCCAGCUGCCUCUCGGACUACUCUUUUAUGGCUUCACUCCUGGCCAUGCCUGGUCAACGUCAAGGUCUCUAAUGAAGAUAAGAGACAAAGGCCUCCAGAGAAGAGCUGGUAGAGAUGGAACAGAAGAGAAGAAAAUGAGCAAAGGUACGCUCAGCACAGACAUCUCCUGAAAGUUCUGGGGAGUUCUCUGAAGACCAUGUUACCUAAAACAGGGAAGAACUACAGCACAGCUCAUGAAGAUUGAAGUUACGUGGCAAGAUUGAGGUAGAAAACUUUCACAUUGCUUGGCUCACUUCCCACACCCAUAUGAUCAGGCUCCAUUCUGCAGACAAGGAAACUGAGGCCCAGGGAGACAAAGCCAGCAGGUGACCAUGUCAAGAUUCAAGCCCAGGAACCAUGAUUUGUCUUCUGUACUCAGACCAGUGUUGAGUGAUGUUCUCAAAGCCACGCAGCUAUCAAGUGGGAAGCUGGAAGUCCUGGUGUGGUGGUUACUGCUCCACUAGGCAGCAGGAAGAGAACUUGGGGACAUCAAGGCCAGGCUGUCCUGAAGACUAGGCCAGUGAAGACAAGGGGCCUGGGUUUCCCCAGAGCAAGGCCUGUGGACCACAGUGCUACCAUGAGGGAAGAUGGGGAAAAGACAAACCAUAGUUCUUGACAUAGUGUGGCUCUACGUCUCCCAAUUUCACAAGGGCUCAGUUUGUCCCUCCCUGAGAUGGACCUUCCAUGGGCACUAAAUAGAAGGACUUUGUAAGGCA